AGCAUUAUACCGCGAAACUGCGAAUGGCUCAUUAAAUCAGUUAUCGUUUAUUUGAUAGUACCUUACUACAAGGAUAACCGUGGUAAUUCUAGAGCUAAUACUUGCUAAAAACCCCGACUUCGGAAGGGGUGUAUUUAUUAGAUUAAAAACCAAUGCCCUUCGGGGCUCUCUGGUGAUUCAUGAUAACUUCUCGAAUCGCAUGGCCUUGCGCCGGCGAUGGUUCAUUCAAAUUUCUGCCCUAUCAACUUUCGACGGCUGGGUCUUGGCCAGCCGUGGUUGCAACGGGUAACGGAGGGUUAGGGCUCGACCCCGGAGAAGGAGCCUGAGAGACGGCUACUACAUCCAAGGAAGGCAGCAGGCGCGCAAAUUACCCAAUCCCGACACGGGGAGGUAGUGACGAUAAAUACUGAUACAGGGCUCUUUUGGGUCUUGUAAUUGGAAUGAGUACAAUUUAAAUCCCUUAACGAGGAACAAUUGGAGGGCAAGUCUGGUGCCAGCAGCCGCGGUAAUUCCAGCUCCAAUAGCGUAUAUUAAAGUUGUUGCGGUUAAAAAGCUCGUAGUUGAACCUUGGGCCUGGCUGGCCGGUCCGCCUCACCGCGUGCACUGGUCCGGCCGGGUCUUUCCCUCUGGGGAACCGCAUGCCCUUCACUGGGUGUGUCGGGGAACCAGGACUUUUACUUUGAAAAAAUUAGAGUGUUCAAAGCAGGCCUAUGCUCGGAUACAUUAGCAUGGAAUAAUAGAAUAGGACGCGCGGUUCUAUUUUGUUGGUUUCUAGGACCGCCGUAAUGAUUAAUAGGGACAGUCGGGGGCAUCAGUAUUCAAUUGUCAGAGGUGAAAUUCUUGGAUUUAUUGAAGACUAACUACUGCGAAAGCAUUUGCCAAGGAUGUUUUCAUUAAUCAGGAACGAAAGUUAGGGGAUCGAAGACGAUCAGAUACCGUCGUAGUCUUAACCAUAAACUAUGCCAACUAGGGAUCGGACGAUGUUAUUUUUUGACUUGUUCGGCACCUUACACGAAAGUACAAG
rnacentral:rRNA from 1 species